rnacentral:rRNA from 1 species
GAUGAACGCUGUCGGCGUGCCUAAUACAUGCCAGUCGAGCGAACGGACGAGAAGCUUGCUUCUCUGAUGUUAGCGGCGGACGGGUGAGUAACACGUGGAUAACCUACCUAUAAGACUGGGAUAACUUCGGGAAACCGGAGCUAAUACCGGAUAAUAUUUUGAACCGCAUGGUUCAAAAGUGAAAGACGGUCUUGCUGUCACUUAUAGAUGGAUCCGCGCUGCAUUAGCUAGUUGGUAAGGUAACGGCUUACCAAGGCAACGAUGCAUAGCCGACCUGAGAGGGUGAUCGGCCACACUGGAACUGAGACACGGUCCAGACUCCUACGGGAGGCAGCAGUAGGGAAUCUUCCGCAAUGGGCGAAAGCCUGACGGAGCAACGCCGCGUGAGUGAUGAAGGUCUUCGGAUCGUAAAACUCUGUUAUUAGGGAAGAACAUAUGUGUAAGUAACUGUGCACAUCUUGACGGUACCUAAUCAGAAAGCCACGACUAACUACGUG